AUUGAACGCUGGCGGCCGGCCUAACACAUGCAAGUCGAGCGAGCGGCGGACGGGAGCGUUAUGCCUGGGAAUUGCCCACUCGCGGGGGAUAAAAGUUAGAAACGACUGCUCAAACCGCAUAAGAUGCGGUUGCCAAGGUGGGAUGAGCUAGUUGGUGGGGUCAUUGCUCACCAAGGCGACGAUCCCCAUCUGGGCUGAGAGGAUGAACAGCCACACUGGCACUUAGACACAGUGCAGACUCCUACGGUAGGCAGCAGUGGGGAAGUGGGCACAAAUGGUGAAACCCUGAUGCAGCCAUGCCGCGUGUGUGAAGAAGGCCUUAGGGUGGUAAAGGACUUUCAGCGGGGAGGCGUUACUCGCAGAAGAAGCACCGGCUAACUCCGUGCCAGCCGCCGCGGUAAUAC
rnacentral:rRNA from 1 species